rnacentral:rRNA from 1 species
AAUCAACGCUGGCGGCGUGCCUCAGACAUGCAAGUCGAACGCGAAAGUCCCCUUCGGGGGACGAAGUAGAGUGGCGCACGGGUGAGUAACACGUAGGUAAUCUACCUUUGGAUGGGGAAUAACAACCGGAAACGGUUGCUAAUACCGCAUAAUGCAGCGGCACCUAAUGGUGACAGUUGUUAAAGCGGGGGAUCGAAAGACCUCGCGUCUGAAGAGGAGCCUGCGGCGGAUUAGCUAGUGGUAAGGUAAUGGCUUACCAAGGCUACGAUCCGUAACCGGCCUGAGAGGGGCGGGUCGGUCGCACUGACACUGACAUACGGGUCAGACUCCUACGGGAGGCAGCAGUCGGGAAUUUUGGGCAAUGGGCGAAAGCCUGACCCAGCAACGCCGCGUGAAGG